rnacentral:rRNA from 2 species
AGGUGUGGUCAUACCAAGACUAAUAGAACAGAUCCCAUUUGAACUCCUUAAUUAAGCAUGGUUGGGCGAGAGUAGUACUAGGAUGGAUGAAAUCCUAAGAAGUUCUCGUAUUUCAUUUC